rnacentral:rRNA from 1 species
AGGGUUCGAUUCUGGCUCAGGAUGAACGCUGGCGGCGUGCUUAACACAUGCAAGUCGAACGAAGCAGUUAUUACGAUCCUUCGGGGUGACGAUUUACUGACUGAGUGGCGGACGGGUGAGUAACGCGUGGGUAACCUGCCUUGUACAGGGGGACAACAGUUGGAAACGACUGCUAAUACCGCAUAAGCGCACAGCUUCGCAUGAAGCAGUGUGAAAAGUAUUUUCGGUACAAGAUGGACCCGCGUCUGAUUAGCUAGUUGGUGAGGUAACGGCCCACCAAGGCGACGAUCAGUAGCCGACCUGAGAGGGUGACCGGCCACAUUGGGACUGAGACACGGCCCAAACUCCUACGGGAGGCAGCAGUGGGGAAUAUUGCACAAUGGGCGAAAGCCUGAUGCAGCCGACGCCGCGUGAGCGAAGAAGUAUUUCGGUAUGUAAAGCUCUAUCAGCAGGGAGGAUAAUGACGGUACCUGACUAAGAAGCACCGGCUAAAUACGUGCCAGCCGCCGC